rnacentral:SRP_RNA from 1 species
UCUGUAACUUCGGCAGGUUGCGCUGCGCGUAUGGCUAAAACGACCAAGAAUGAACCUGGAAAGUCGCUGUGCUUUGGUCUGUCCAUUUCAAAUUUGGGGUAAACACUGGCGUCUGUUGGUAACGACGAGCGUCAGGGUUUUCAAAGAAGCUGGGAACGCCUCAGGCUGGUAACAGAGCAGGGAAAACAGCUCGCCCUUAAUCGUGAAAGGAUAGCAGGCCU